rnacentral:rRNA from 1 species
UACGUAGGGUGCAAGCGUUAAUCGGAAUUACUGGGCGUAAAGCGUGCGCAGGCGGCUUUGCAAGACAGAUGUGAAAUCCCCGGGCUUAACCUGGGAACUGCAUUUGUGACUGCAUGGCUGGAGUGCGGCAGAGGGGGAUGGAAUUCCGCGUGUAGCAGUGAAAUGCGUAGAUAUGCGGAGGAACACCGAAGGCGAAGGCAGUGUCCUGGGGAGUACCUGACGCUCAGGUGCGAAAGCCAGGGGAGCGAACGGG